AAUAGAUACCCUGGUAGUCCACGCCGUAAACGGUGGGCACUAGGUGUGGGCAGCAUUCCACGUUGUCCGUGCCGUAGCUAACGCAUUAAGUGCCCCGCCUGGGGAGUACGGCCGCAAGGCUAAAACUCAAAGGAAUUGACGGGAGCCCGCACAAGCGGCGGAGCAUGUGGCUUAAUUCGACGCAACGCGAAGAACCUUACCAAGGCUUGACAUACACCGGAAACAUCCAGAGAUGGGUGCCCCCUUGUGGUCGGUGUACAGGUGGUGCAUGGCUGUCGUCAGCUCGUGUCGUGAGAUGUUGGGUUAAGUCCCGCAACGAGCGCAACCCUUGUCCCGUGUUGCCAGCAGGCCCUUGUGGUGCUGGGGACUCACGGGAGACCGCCGGGGUCAACUCGGAGGAAGGUGGGGACGACGUCAAGUCAUCAUGCCCCUUAUGUCUUGGGCUGCACACGUGCUACAAUGGCCGGUACAAAGAGCUGCGAUACCGUGAGGUGGAGCGAAUCUCAAAAAGCCGGUCUCAGUUCGGAUUGGGGU
rnacentral:rRNA from 1 species